AACCGGGGGUAAUGCCUUAGUACGGCGAGUGAAGCGGCAAAAGCUCAAAUUUGAAAUCUGGUACCUUCGGUGCCCGAGUUGUAAUUUGUAGAAGGUAACUUUGGGGCUGGUCCUUGUCUAUGUUCCUUGGAACAGGACGUCAUAGAGGGUGAGAAUCCCGUGUGGCGAGGAUCCCAGUUCUUUGUAAAGUGCUUUCGAAGAGUCGAGUUGUUUGGGAAUGCAGCUCUAAGUGGGUGGUAAAUUCCAUCUAAAGCUAAAUAUUGGCGAGAGACCGAUAGCGAACAAGUACAGUGAUGGAAAGAUGAAAAGAACUUUGAAAAGAGAGUGAAAAAGUACGUGAAAUUGUUGAAAGGGAAGGGCAUUUGAUCAGACAUGGUGUUUUGCGCCCUCUGCUCCUUGUGGGUGGGGGAAUCUCGCAGCUCACUGGGCCAGCAUCAGUUUUGGCGGCAGGAUAAAUCUGCAGGAAUGUAGCUUGCCUCGGUAAGUGUUAUAUCCUGUAGAAAUACUGCCAGCUGGGACUGAGGACUGCGACUUUACGUCAAGGAUGCUGGCAUAAUGGUUAUAUGCCGCCCGUCUUGAACACCGAACCAAAAAA
rnacentral:rRNA from 1 species